UAAAUUUAAUAAUUAUUAUUUUUAAUUAAUUUUUUAUAAUUAAUAUAAAUUUAAAUAUAAUUUAGUUGAAAUUUAGUUUUUUAUAAAAUAAAUUUUAUUAAUAAAUUUUAUUUUUUUAUUAUGAUUAAAUUAGUAAAUUUUUUAAAAUAAUUAAUAAAUUUAUUAUAAAAUUAAUUUUAAUGAAUUUGGCAAAAAAUAUAAUCAAAUGUUUAUUAAAAACAUUUUUUGUUGAAAUUGAAUAAUAAAUAUUUCCUGCUCAAUGAAUAAUUAAAUAGCUGCAAUUUUGUACUAAGGUAGCAUAAUCAAUUGUUUUUUAAAUGAAAACUAGAAUGAAUGGAGUAAUGAAUUAUAGACUUUAUAAAAAUUAUUUGUUAAAUUUUAUUUUAAGUAAAAAUUCUUAAAAGUUUUUAAAAGACGAGAAGACCCUAUAGAAUUUUAUAACUAUUAUUUAUUAAAGAUUUUAAAAUUUUUAUUAUUUAUAAUUAUUUAGUUGGGGUUAUUUUAAAAUUUAAAUAAAUUUUAAUAUUAAAAUUUAUAUAUAUAUAUAUAUUAUAAUAUUAAUUAAGAAUUAAUUAAAAUUAAAUUACCUUAGGGAUAACAGCGUAAUAUUUAUAUAAGUUCAAUUUUGACUAAUUGAUUGCGACCUCGAUGUUGAAUUAAGAUAAAUUAUUUAUGAAGAUAUAAAUAAAUUAAGUCUGUUCGACUUUUAAAUUCUUACAUGAUUUGAGUUUAGAUCGGUGUGAGCCAGAUCGGAUUCUAUCUUUAAAAAAAUUAUUUAUCUUUGUACGAAAGGACUUUAUUAAAUUUAAUAAUUUAAAAUUAUUUGAAUAAAAUUAU
rnacentral:rRNA from 1 species